GGGGGCCCGCACAAGCGGUGGAGCAUGUGGUUUAAUUCGAUGCAACGCGAAGAACCUUACCUACUCUUGACAUCCAGAGAACUUAGCAGAGAUGCUUUGGUGCCUUCGGGAACUCUGAGACAGGUGCUGCAUGGCUGUCGUCAGCUCGUGUUGUGAAAUGUUGGGUUAAGUCCCGCAACGAGCGCAACCCUUAUCCUUUGUUGCCAGCGGUUCGGCCGGGAACUCAAAGGAGACUGCCAGUGAUAAACUGGAGGAAGGUGGGGAUGACGUCAAGUCAUCAUGGCCCUUACGAGUAGGGCUACACACGUGCUACAAUGGCGCAUACAAAGAGAAGCGACCUCGCGAGAGCAAGCGGACCUCAUAAAGUGCGUCGUAGUCCGGAUUGGAGUCUGCAACUCGACUCCAUGAAGUCGGAAUCGCUAGUAAUCGUGGAUCAGAAUGCCACGGUGAAUACGUUCCCGGGCCUUGUACACACCGCCCGUCACACCAUGGGAGUGGGUUGCAAAAGAAGUAGGUAGCUUAACCUUCGGGAGGGCGCUAUCCAC
rnacentral:rRNA from 1 species